UACAGAGGUCCCAAGCGUUGUUCGGAUUUACUGGGCGUAAAGGGUGCGUAGGUGGCGAGGCAAGUCAGAUGUGAAAUCCCGGGGCUCAACCCCGGAACUGCAUUUGAAACUGCCUUGCUCGAGUACUGGAGAGGAGACUGGAAUUUACGGUGUAGCAGUGAAAUGCGUAGAUAUCGUAAGGAAGACCAGUGGCGAAGGCGAGUCUCUGGACAGUUACUGACACUGAGGCACGAAGGCCAGGGGAGCAAACGGG
rnacentral:rRNA from 1 species